rnacentral:rRNA from 3 species
AAAUUGAAGAGUUUGAUCAUGGCUCAGAUUGAACGCUGGCGGCAGGCCUAACACAUGCAAGUCGAACGGUAACAGGAAACAGCUUGCUGUUUCGCUGACGAGUGGCGGACGGGUGAGUAAUGUCUGGGAAACUGCCUGAUGGAGGGGGAUAACUACUGGAAACGGUAGCUAAUACCGCAUAACGUCGCAAGACCAAAGAGGGGGACCUUCGGGCCUCUUGCCAUCGGAUGUGCCCAGAUGGGAUUAGCUUGUUGGUGGGGUAACGGCUCACCAAGGCGACGAUCCCUAGCUGGUCUGAGAGGAUGACCAGCCACACUGGAACUGAGACACGGUCCAGACUCCUACGGGAGGCAGCAGUGGGGAAUAUUGCACAAUGGGCGCAAGCCUGAUGCAGCCAUGCCGCGUGUAUGAAGAAGGCCUUCGGGUUGUAAAGUACUUUCAGCGGGGAGGAAGGGAGUAAAGUUAAUACCUUUGCUCAUUGACGUUACCCGCAGAAGAAGCACCGGCUAACUCCGUGCCAGCAGCCGCGGUAAUACGGAGGGUGCAAGCGUUAAUCGGAAUUACUGGGCGUAAAGCGCACGCAGGCGGUUUGUUAAGUCAGAUGUGAAAUCCCCGGGCUCAACCUGGGAACUGCAUCUGAUACUGGCAAGCUUGAGUCUCGUAGAGGGGGGUAGAAUUCCAGGUGUAGCGGUGAAAUGCGUAGAGAUCUGGAGGAAUACCGGUGGCGAAGGCGGCCCCCUGGACGAAGACUGACGCUCAGGUGCGAAAGCGUGGGGAGCAAACAGGAUUAGAUACCCUGGUAGUCCACGCCGUAAACGAUGUCGACUUGGAGGUUGUGCCCUUGAGGCGUGGCUUCCGGAGCUAACGCGUUAAGUCGACCGCCUGGGGAGUACGGCCGCAAGGUUAAAACUCAAAUGAAUUGACGGGGGCCCGCACAAGCGGUGGAGCAUGUGGUUUAAUUCGAUGCAACGCGAAGAACCUUACCUGGUCUUGACAUCCACGGAAGUUUUCAGAGAUGAGAAUGUGCCUUCGGGAACCGUGAGACAGGUGCUGCAUGGCUGUCGUCAGCUCGUGUUGUGAAAUGUUGGGUUAAGUCCCGCAACGAGCGCAACCCUUAUCCUUUGUUGCCAGCGGUCCGGCCGGGAACUCAAAGGAGACUGCCAGUGAUAAACUGGAGGAAGGUGGGGAUGACGUCAAGUCAUCAUGGCCCUUACGACCAGGGCUACACACGUGCUACAAUGGCGCAUACAAAGAGAAGCGACCUCGCGAGAGCAAGCGGACCUCAUAAAGUGCGUCGUAGUCCGGAUUGGAGUCUGCAACUCGACUCCAUGAAGUCGGAAUCGCUAGUAAUCGUGGAUCAGAAUGCCACGGUGAAUACGUUCCCGGGCCUUGUACACACCGCCCGUCACACCAUGGGAGUGGGUUGCAAAAGAAGUAGGUAGCUUAACCUUCGGGAGGGCGCUUACCACUUUGUGAUUCAUGACUGGGGUGAAGUCGUAACAAGGUAACCGUAGGGGAACCUGCAGUUGGAUCACCUCCUUACCUUAAAGAAGC